GCUGGGAGGCCUGAUAGGCGCCUCUGGGAAGACCUCACCAGGGUGGAUGGCGGGGGGCCUGAUAGCCCCGCUCCUCCAGGGACCUGGCUCUAGGAGCGAUAACCAGGGGCCUGCCACCCAGGGGCCUGCAGUUGGGCUUGGGGGCAGGGCCUGGGCUGUGAGGCCGCUGUGGCCCUCCACAACCCUCGCUGUGCACACGAGCUCGCGUUCUUGCUUCAGAAGGGAACCUGAGAGUGGUCAUGGGGUUCUCAGGACAGGGCCGACCCCAGCCGGCCUGGGGCAGCACACGGACACCUCACCAGCCUCAGAAAGCAGGAGGCCGCAGGCGCCGACUGGCAGCAGGCCUCUCAGAAACGGAGACUCAGAGUCCCCCCGACGGACACACCUUGUGAUCUGAGCAAGGGAAGAGCCCGAGUCAUGAGUCACGGCACUACCGAGUCACGAGUCAGAUCCCAGUGGUGCAUCAGGACUUACAGCUGUUUUGCCGGAUACAGAAUUCCUGCAGCUAUCUUCUCAGCAUUUUUGAGACACGUGCCACUGUCUCUGGCCUCCACAGUCCCGAGGAGAAGUCGUCACUCUUUCUCAGGAGGCUAUGUUCCUGAGGACCCUCCUCGCCCGCUCCAGGAUGGUCUCUGGGUGUCUGUCUCUUAUUUCAUUCUGCUUGGGGUUUGCUGACCUAUGUUGGAUGUGCACAGUAAUGUUCCCAUCGAGUCUGUGCCCUUUCAGCCAUUAUUCCUCCACAUGUCCCCACUGGUCUCCCGCCCUGCUCCAGGGCUCGAACCGUGUGUGCCAGACGCCCGGCUGCCUUCCCCAUGUCGGGCUCCUUCAGCGGCUUGGAUUGGACCGUCUGUCGAUCUACCUUCACAGUGUUGCUUCUUCUCCUCUGCUAGCUUGAACAUGUCAUCUACUCUCUUAAUAAAUUCUACAUUUCAGGCA